UACGUAGGGGGCUAGCGUUGUCCGGAUUUAUUGGGCGUAAAGAGCGUGUAGGCGGCCAGAUAGGUCUGCUGUGAAAACUCGAGGCUCAACCUCGAGAUGUCGGCGGAAACCAUUUGGCUAGAGUCCGGAAGAGGAAAGUGGAAUUCCUGGUGUAGCGGUGAAAUGCGCAGAUAUCAGGAGGAACACCGGUGGCGAAGGCGGGUCUCUGGGCCGAUACUGACGCUGAGGAGCGAAAGCGUGGGGAGCGAACAGG
rnacentral:rRNA from 1 species